GUGCAGCAGGCGCGAAUACUCCGCAAUGCGGGCAACCGCGACGGGGCUACCCCGAGUGCCGGGCGAAGAGCCCGGCUUUUGCCCGGUCUAAAAAGCCGGGAGAAUAAGCGGGGGGCAAGUCUGGUGUCAGCCGCCGCGGUAAUACCAGCUCCGCGAGUGGUCGGGGUGUUUACUGGGCUUAAAGCGCCCGUAGCCGGCCCGGCAAGUCGCUCCUGAAAUCCCCGGGCUCAACCCGGGGGCGGGGGGCGAUACUGCCGGGCUAGGGGGCGGGAGAGGCCGCCGGUACUCCGGGGGUAGGGGCGAAAUCCGUUAAUCCCCGGAGGACCACCAGUGGCGAAAGCGGGCGGCCAGAACGCGCCCGACGGUGAGGGGCGAAAGCCGGGGGAGCAAAGGGGAUUAGAUACCCCUGUAGUCCCGGCCGUAAACGAUGCGGGCUAGCUGUCGGCCGGGCUUAGGGCCCGGCCGGUGGCGAAGGGAAACCGUUAAGCCCGCCGCCUGGGGAGUACGGCCGCAAGGCUGAAACUUAAAGGAAUUGGCGGGGGAGCAC
rnacentral:rRNA from 1 species